rnacentral:rRNA from 1 species
GGGUGCAAGCGUUGUCCGGAUUUAUUGGGCGUAAAGAGCUCGUAGGCGGCUUGUUGCGUCGACUGUGAAAACCCGCGGCUUAACCGCGGGCUUGCAGUUGAUACGGGCAGGCUAGAGUUCGGUAGGGGAGACUGGAAUUCCUGGUGUAGCGGUGAAAUGCGCAGAUAUCAGGAGGAACACCGGUGGCGAAGGCGGGUCUCUGGGCCGAUACUGACGCUGAGGAGCGAAAGCGUGGGGAGCGAACAGG